GGGACUCUAUCUAGCUACACUACAUCCUCCUAAGACAUCGGAAGCUUAGCUGAUCUCCCGACAAGAAAAGCAACAAGAUGGCAAGUGGACGUACUAUCUUCAUGGUGGUGGCCCUGCUGGUGGUGGUGCUGCUGCUCCAGGCUUCCGGGACCUUUGCCUGGGAAGGAGACAGCUACAAGUCUCUGGAGUUCGGCGAUGGAGACGGCCACUCCCCCUACAGCCACGACGGCGGCUUCAGCAAGGAGAGCUUCGACGGCGACUUCGACGACCACAAAGACUGGUGAUUCGUUCGCUCGAUUCGAGGACUUUGAUUGGCACCAGGAUAAUGCUCUGUCAGUUUGGAUAUAGAUAGUAAAGUUGCAUUUUGUUA